rnacentral:tRNA from 1 species
GGCGGCAUGGCCAAGUGGUAAGGCGGGGGACUGCAAAUCCUUUAUCCCCAGUUCGAAUCUGGGUGUUGCCUGAUCAACAAA